UUAGUUUAGCUUAAUCCACCAAAACACACUCCUUACAAAAAUAAUAAAAUAAAACUAAAUAAAGGGUUGCAGAUCUGUUCGGUAAAAAAGGAACUGCAACAACAACAAAACAAGAAAAGGUUUUUAUAUUUUAUUUGUUAAAAAAAGAGGAGGGAGCAGAGAUAGCGAAGGAAGGAAGCUUUAUUUUGUUGUAGUAAUAAAAAAAGAGUGAGAGAGAGAGAGAGAGAGAGAGAGACCAUGUUUGGGGAAGUGAGGGACGACUCUGAUGGCUUGGGAAAUGGCUUGGAGUCUGGGGUCUCCCUUGAGGCCAUUCUCUUCGGCGAACAUUUUGAAAGGAAAAAAAAGGUGAUUUGCUUUGUGGGGGGGGCUUUUUGUGUUGUAUUGUGUUUCCCUCCGAAACUGUUACUUUUUAGUGUGGAAUGGAAGAAGAGCGAAAGAAAAGGAUGGUUUGAGCGUUGUUCAACUUAACAAACUGUGGGCAUUUUGUUUGAGCUUAUUUAUGUCCAGCGUCACCCCCAACCCCAACCCAACACAUUCUAACCACGCGAUUUUCCCCACUCCACCUCACACGCUCUCUUU
rnacentral:lncRNA from 1 species